UUUGUCCAGACCUUGGUCAAUUUUGGUUUUAGGGAUGUCUCCGAUCAUCUUUGACCUUAUUCUGGCCAGCCAUGGCUAUUCGAGUCCAACUCUUGACUCUCCUGCUUAAAUUGAUGUCUAUCAAAGUCUUUCUCACCAUUUAGGGUUCUUCUGAAACCCUAACCUUUAAGGUUCUUCCGAUUUCUUUCAAUCAGCUUCAAAUUCAUGUUUUCUCUAAACUUUAACACAUUCUUCUCGAAGUUUUUUUUUUGAAAACUCCACCUUCAAAAACUCCUUAUCUUUUUCCGAUUAGGUUUUCUGUAAAUUUAUUUGACAUGUUUUGCUGUGUUUCCUUAUGUCAUCCAUCAAUUUGAGUUUGCAUGUUAAGGGCCUUAAUUUCUUUUGAGAUUUCUGAAUCUAUUUUGUUAUUAUUUGUUUGAUUUACUUAUGUUUCAUC
rnacentral:lncRNA from 1 species